UACGAAGGGGGCUAGCGUUGCUCGGAAUUACUGGGCGUAAAGGGCGCGUAGGCGGCCUUCUAAGUCGAACGUGAAAUCCCUGGGCUCAACCCAGGAACUGCGUCCGAUACUGGAAGGCUUGAAUCCGGGAGAGGGAUGCGGAAUUCCAGGUGUAGCGGUGAAAUGCGUAGAUAUCUGGAGGAAUACCGGUGGCGAAGGCGGCAUCCUGGACCGGCAUUGACGCUGAUGAGCGAAAGCUAGGGGAGCAAACGGG
rnacentral:rRNA from 1 species